rnacentral:rRNA from 1 species
GAUGAACGCUGGCGGCGUGCCUAAUACAUGCAAGUCGAGCGAACGGACGAGAAGCUUGCUUCUCUGAUGUUAGCGGCGGACGGGUGAGUAACACGUGGAUAACCUACCUAUAAGACUGGGAUAACUUCGGGAAACCGGAGCUAAUACCGGAUAAUAUUUUGAACCGCAUGGUUCAAAAGUGAAAGACGGUCUUGCUGUCACUUAUAGAUGGAUCCGCGCUGCAUUAGCUAGUUGGUAAGGUAACGGCUUACCAAGGCAACGAUGCAUAGCCGACCUGAGAGGGUGAUCGGCCACACUGGAACUGAGACACGGUCCAGACUCCUACGGGAGGCAGCAGUAGGGAAUCUUCCGCAAUGGGCGAAAGCCUGACGGAGCAACGCCGCGUGAGUGAUGAAGGUCUUCGGAUCGUAAAACUCUGUUAUUAGGGAAGAACAUAUGUGUAAGUAACUGUGCACAUCUUGACGGUACCUAAUCAGAAAGCCACGGCUAACUACGUGCCAGCAGCCGCGGUAAUACGUAGGUGGCAAGCGUUAUCCGGAAUUAUUGGGCGUAAAGCGCGCGUAGGCGGUUUUUUAAGUCUGAUGUGAAAGCCCACGGCUCAACCGUGGAGGGUCAUUGGAAACUGGAAAACUUGAGUGCAGAAGAGGAAAGUGGAAUUCCAUGUGUAGCGGUGAAAUGCGCAGAGAUAUGGAGGAACACCAGUGGCGAAGGCGACUUUCUGGUCUGUAACUGACGCUGAUGUGCGAAAGCGUGGGGAUCAAACAGGAUUAGAUACCCUGGUAGUCCACGCCGUAAACGAUGAGUGCUAAGUGUUAGGGGGUUUCCGCCCCUUAGUGCUGCAGCUAACGCAUUAAGCACUCCGCCUGGGGAGUACGACCGCAAGGUUGAAACUCAAAGGAAUUGACGGGGACCCGCACAAGCGGUGGAGCAUGUGGUUUAAUUCGAAGCAACGCGAAGAACCUUACCAAAUCUUGACAUCCCUUGACAACUCUAGAGAUAGAGCUUUCCCCUUCGGGGGACAAAGUGACAGGUGGUGCAUGGUUGUCGUCAGCUCGUGUCGUGAGAUGUUGGGUUAAGUCCCGCAACGAGCGCAACCCUUAAGCUUAGUUGCCAUCAUUAAGUUGGGCACUCUAAGUUGACUGCCGGUGACAAACCGGAGGAAGGUGGGGAUGACGUCAAAUCAUCAUGCCCCUUAUGAUUUGGGCUACACACGUGCUACAAUGGACAAUACAAAGGGCAGCGAAACCGCGAGGUCAAGCAAAUCCCAUAAAGUUGUUCUCAGUUCGGAUUGUAGUCUGCAACUCGACUACAUGAAGCUGGAAUCGCUAGUAAUCGUAGAUCAGCAUGCUACGGUGAAUACGUUCCCGGGUCU